rnacentral:rRNA from 1 species
CACGUAGUUAGCCGGAGCUUUCUCCAUAGGUACCGUCACCUUAAGUCAUUAUUCACAACCUAAGACUUCUUCCCUAAGAACAGAACUUUACGAUCCGAAGACCUUCUUCAUUCACGCGGCGUUGCUCCGUCAGGCCUGCGCCCAUUGCGGAAGAUUCCCCACUGCUGCCUCCCGUAGGAGUUUGGGCCGUGUCUCAGUCCCAAUGUGGCCGGUCACCCUCUCAGGCCGGCUACUGAUCGUCGCCUUGGUAGGCCGUUACCCCACCAACUAGCUAAUCAGACGCGGGUCCAUCCCAUAUCGGUAGCAUGUUCAGAGGCCACCUUUCCUCACCCAGAAGAUGCCUUCCAAUGAGAGUAUCCGGUAUUAGCAGUCGUUUCCAACUGUUGUCCCGGUUUAUGGGGCAGGUUACCCACGUGUUACUCACCCGUCCGCCACUAAGCCUCAAAGUCUUCCGCCCGAAGGCCUUCUGUCUAAGAGACUCCGUUCGACUGCAUGUGUUAAGCACGCCGCCAGCGUCGUCCUCGUCG